UACAGAGGUCUCAAGCGUUGUUCGGAUUCAUUGGGCGUAAAGGGUGCGUAGGUGGCGCCGUAAGUCAGGUGUGAAAUUUCGGAGCUUAACUCCGAAACUGCAUUUGAUACUGCGGUGCUUGAGGACUGGAGAGGAGACUGGAAUUUACGGUGUAGCAGUGAAAUGCGUAGAGAUCGUAAGGAAGACCAGUGGCGAAGGCGGGUCUCUGGACAGUUCCUGACACUGAGGCACGGAAGGCCCAGGGGGAGCAAACGGG
rnacentral:rRNA from 1 species